UCGUGCCACGCCGCUGCUGCACUCCUCCUCCCUCAGCGCUCCCACAAAGCUUUGCAGGAGACCGUACAAUGAAAUUUCGGACUUUUUUUCACGUUUCGGCGCCAUUUUCGAUUGGACUGGAGGGACCCCUUUUACAUCGACCAGAAAGUCUAAGCAGUCCGAGGCCUGUCUCAAAGGAAAUAUCAAGAUGGGGCACUAGUGUUUGGGAUGGACAUCAAGUGUUCAUGUGUCAGAGGCAUCACAAAGAGUAGUAGACUCGUAGGAGAGAUCCAGAAAGGGAAUCAGGGUUGACUGCAUUUCAGCACCACCUUGUACCAUCUGUGCACCAUAUGACCCGGUCAGCAAU